rnacentral:rRNA from 1 species
AGAGUUUGAUCAUGGCUCAGGAUGAACGCUAGCUACAGGCUUAACACAUGCAAGUCGAGGGGAAACGACAUCGAAAGCUUGCUUUUGAUGGGCGUCGACCGGCGCACGGGUGAGUAACGCGUAUCCAACCUGCCCACCACUUGGGGAUAACCUUGCGAAAGUAAGACUAAUACCCAAUGACGUCUCUAGAAGACAUCUGAAAGAGAUUAAAGAUUUUAUCGGUGAUGGAUGGGGAUGCGUCUGAUUAGCUUGUGGCGGGGUAACGGCCACAAGGCGACGAUCAGUAGGGGUUCUGGAGAGGAACGGUCCCCCACAUUGGAACUGAGACACGGUCCAAACUCCGUACGGGAGGCA